GCUUAUGUUGUAUGGUUCGUCGAAACGAAGAAGGACUAAGCAGCUGACAGAUUCAGCAGACUGUGUACACUUGUCAUUUUCAUGCAUGGUAGUGUUUCAUUAUUAUUGACCGAACCAAUGCUGGGCUUCCAUGUAAAGAAAGUCACAGUCAUUUCCUGUGUAUACAUUUCCUUUCUAUCCAUUCAUUCAAAAAGCUGUAUUGUUUGUAUGUAGGGGCAUCGCUUUGGAAUACUCAGCAUCUAAUGUUUACAGGAUAUAGUGUAGCUUUGUCCCUCUUCACGUAAGGGGUUCCAGUCCAGGGGCCAGGCCGGGUCGGGCUGGGUUGGGCCGGGUCGAGCUGGGCUCCUCACAGGGGCCCGUUCACAAUACCGAUGGGGAUGGAUUAUUUCUGCGUUCCCACUUGUAGCGAUAUGGACAAUUUUAAUUAGGGUUGUUGGUUUCCUGGCUCUCCAUGCACUUUUGCUGCGUUGGAAACCCCAAGCAAGGUCGCUGCGAUCCGAGCUAGUUAGCUCACUUUUGGAAGGCACGCGAGGUCUAUUUCACGAGGCGAAACCAGGAUUAACGUGUCGCUGUGAUCUGAUUCGAAGGGUUUGGACCACCAGUGUGGCAGCGUGAAGAGGUGAAAAACGCCAGCGUGGUGGAAAGCCAGAUCCCAGAUGCUUAUCCACACGGCCAAUACAGUUGGAAGCCCGGUGCCGGAGGGUAUGUUGCACCGGCCUCGGUUCCAAAAUUGAAGGGGCUGCCAACUGAUCCGAUUAAGUUCCACUUUUGUCUGGUCACGCAUCUCCCGCGGCGUCCACUCACGGACCUCCGAGUGCGCCUUGGUUGCAUCAUCCCUGCGGCGCGAAGAUCCACCUUCGGUCGUAACUUGUUUUUUCCCUUGGUUUCUUACUACAUUACAGUGGAUUUGUCUCUGAUCCUUGCGGUGUGGUUGGGCAUGUGAUGAAGAUGAUGGUCGCAGGAAGGAAUACGACAGCGUGUUGAAGGAACUCAGGGACGGCGUCUUCGAUUUUCGAGAGCAAAGUCGAACUGAAGCUUUCAUUUGUCAAACUCUAGAUUGGAUGCGGAAAACAGUUUAUUGGAAGGGUGCUGGAAGAUUGCAUGCGUUUCAAAAUCACAUAGAGGAUGUUGGAAAUUGGACAGUUAUUCACCAGGAUUGCCCUUUACGAGAGGAUUGCUUGAUAUUGUCACUCCGCUACGGAUCAUUGCAGAAAAAUAUUACAAAUGGAUAGGCUGGUAUUCUAGCAAAUCAUAUGAGAAAUUCGAGUCCGUUCCUUUGCUCAGCCGUUCGCAUAGCUUGUGAGGUUCAGAUUUGUCGGAAGGACAACUCUGACGUGACAUUGAAUGAUCUUGUUCCGCUUAGCCUUGGGGUGCACUGCUCCAAUAUCGCUCUCUUCUACCAUACUUUGUAGAGCCCUUUCCAACUGCAAAGCUGAUACUUCGGUGUCCCCUUAACCCCCAUUCAAGUCGAGGAUAUUCUGGCUACUAAGUAGAGGUUUGAAAACCAUCAAUGUUUGGUGAGUGACGAUGAGUAUGGUGGACUUGCAAACCAGGGCAGAAGGUCUGAUCUCCUGUAUAGCACCCUUUGGACUUCAGUAACCUUUGUGUAUCAUUCAGUAUUGGGAGAAAUAUUCAGUAUAGUAUACUAGUUUCCAGUAUAGAAUACUAUCUAUUUAAUUGUUACCUUACACCAAGAGUUGUGACUCUUGGUGUCACACUUGUACACAUAAUAUAUUGUGUGAGAAUUGAUUAUAUUAGUAUAUAAGAUGUUUCCAA